AUGGUAAGGAUGCCCAUCCUCGUUGCCGUGGCUCUCGUGGCCGCAGUGGCCUCCUGCAGCGCAAGGGAGCCUAACAUCUGUACGCCGAUGGCGGAGGUUGCAGCAACUGCUGUAGAUGACGCCGUGGCGCCGCUCAUCCACGCGUUGCGGCCACUACUGGGCUCCGGCGGGCAGCUCGGGAGCCACGGCGGGGUGCCGUGCGACAGCUGGCGGCUGGGCGUGGAGGCGUACAACGUGCGGGACUGGACGACGGUCCCCGCCAACUGCGAGGGAUACGUGGGCCACUACAUGCUCGGCAGCCACUACCGCCGCGACUCCAAGGUCGUCAUCGACCAGGCCAUCGCCUACCUUGACAGCCUCAAGCUCGCCGGCAACGGCAAGGAGGUGUGGGUCUUCGACAUCGACGAGACCAUGCUCUCCAACCUACCUUACUACGCCACUCACGGCUUCGGGGCCAGGCCGUACAACGCGACGAGCUACAACGCUUAUGUGUUGGAGGGGAGCGCGCCUGCGCUACCGGAGACAAAACGGCUGUACUACAAGCUGCUCGCGGUGGGCAUCAAGCCAGUGUUCCUAACAGGACGGACCGAGCACCGGAGGGCCAUCACAGUUGCCAACCUCUGCCGCCAGGGCAUCUCCGGAUGGAUGAACCUGCUCCUCAAGCAACCAUGGUUCAAGGGUUCCACGGUGACCUACAAGUCUGGCGAGAGGCAGAAGCUGCAGGACGCUGGGUACGUCGUCGUGGGAAACAUCGGCGACCAGUGGAGCGACAUCCUCGGCGCUCCCGAGGGCGCUCGCACCUUCAAGUUGCCCGACCCCAUGUACUACAUCGGCUAG
rnacentral:rRNA from 1 species